AAGAGAAAAUGACAAAGAAGUCCUAAGUUAAAUCCUUGCCUUAAAUUUUUGAUCUCUUUAAUUCUUAACCCUCAAAUUUUGUCCUUCUAAAUCCAGAUCAUUUAUUUUCUCCGUCUAGAAUCUUGACCUUUCAUCUUAGGACUCCCAUUCUCAAUAAAUAUUCAAAGCCUCCACUGUAGAAGGGGUCCCUUUUCCAAAAGUAGAGCUAAGAA
rnacentral:misc_RNA from 1 species